GAUGAACGCUGGCGGCGUGCCUAAUACAUGCAAGUCGAACGCAGUGGGGACGGGUGAGUAACACGUGGGUAACCUCCCAUCAGAGGGGACAACAGUUUGAAACAGGUGCUAAACCGAUACUGAUGGAUGGACCCUCGGUGCAUUAGCUAGUGGGUGAGGUAACGGCCCACCAAGGCCACGAUGCAUAGCCGACCUGAGAGGGUGAUCGGCCACACUGGGACUGAGACACGGCCCAGACUCCUACGGGAGGCAGCAGUAGGGAAUCUUCGGCAAUGGACGAAAGUCUGACCGAGCAACGCCGCGUGAGUGAAGAAGGUUUUCGGAUCGUAAAACUCUGUUGUUAGAGAAGCGGUAUCUAACCAGAAAGCCACGGCUAACUACGUGCCAGCAGCCGCGGUAAUUC
rnacentral:rRNA from 1 species